rnacentral:rRNA from 1 species
AUUGAACGCUGGCGGCAGGCCUAACACAUGCAAGUCGAACGAGUGGCGGACGGGUGAGGAAUGUCUGUGAACUUGCCUGAUGGAGGGGGAUAACUACUGGAAACGGUAGCUAAUACCGCAUACCAUCAGAUGUGCCCAGAUGGGAUUAGCUAGUUGGUGGGGUAGUGGCGGACAAAGGCGACGAUCCCUAGCUGGUCGGAGAGGAGGACCAGCCACACUGGAAAUGAGACACGGUCCAGACUCCAACGGGAGGCAGGGGUGGGGAAUAUUGCACAAUGGGCGCAAGCCUGAUGCAGCCAUGCCGCGUGUAUGAAGAAGGCCUUCGGGUUGUAAAGUACUUUCAGCGGGGAGGCGUUACCCGCAGAAGAAGCACCGGCUAACUCCGUGCCAGCAGCCGCGGUAAUUC